AGCUUUUCUUUCCGUCAUAAUCGUCUGCUGUGUGUUUGUUGAAGGCCCAACAUCUUGAGGCUAAAGUUGGCGGGAGUGAUCACUCAAGAAAGGGCUGGGAAGACAGGUCAUCACUUUGCUAGCUGAUAAAGACCUAAACAUUCAGGUGGAGCGGCUAAAAGGGUGCAUGAGGAUGGCGGCGUGUGUGGGGCUCUUACCCCCCACCCAGGGUGCCCCAUCCUCUCUGAGUAACGACACACACCGCUAUGCCUGCAAGUCUUAUGCUAACAAGCUUCUACAGAACCUUUGUACACUAUGGCAUUCACAACAUUUUUGUGAUGUUGAAAUAUCAGCUCAAGGAUUUGUUGUGAAGGCCCACCGUGCAGUUCUUUCGGCUGGAAGUGCAUACUUUCAAGCCAUGUUUACUGGUGGAUUAGCUGAGGAAACACAAACUUCAGUAGAAAUAAAGUCCAUAACACCGAAUGUAUUGGCUCAGCUCAUAAACUUCAUAUACACUGGAGAUAUUGAAGUAACAGUGGAAAAUGCUCAGGAGCUGAUGGUUGCUGCAGAUAUGCUAGAAAUUCACCAUGUUGUACAUGUGGGUACAAACUUUUUGAAGAAGGAACUCCAUCCAUCUAAUGCUAUAGGAAUUUACAGGUUUGCUGAGGCUCAUCACUUAGUUGAACUUCUAGAAACUUCUCGUGACUUUAUCUUCUCCAGCUUCUCCGACGUAGUAAUGGAGGAGGAGUUCCUUGAAACUCCACGAGAUGUCCUAAUCAACCUCCUUCAGUCCGAAUAUCUUCGCAUUGACACAGAGUUUCAGGUAUUUUCUGCUGCCAUCCGAUGGAUUGGGCAAGACAUAACAACUAGAAGGCGUUAUGUUUUUGAAAUUUUAAAUCAAGUUAGACUUCCUUUAAUUCCAAGUAAACUUCUUGAGAAAUCAAUCAAUGAGUGUUGUGAUAUCAGUCUGAAGGUGGCCCUAAGAAGUAUACAGAAAGACCUGUUAAGCAAAAGGGGAAGUUUGGUUCCUUUGUAUGUUCAGCCUAGAAUUUGUGCACGAAAGAAAAUUUAUGUUAUUGGUGGAUCCAAGAGAGAACUUAUUAGUUCAUGGACCAGGUCUGAGUGUACAUUUGAAAGUGUCGAGUGUUUUGAUACCUUUAGAAAGGAAUGGCAGAAAGUAUGCCCUAUGGAGAUAGGAAGGAUUUUACCUGGAAUUGCUGUACUAAAUGGGAGAAUAUUUGUCGUGGGAGGGGAACAAGAAUCUCAAAUUUUGGCAAAUGGUGAAGUAUACGAUCCUCAGGAAGAUAUGUGGACAAAUAUAUCUUCAAUGGUAAUCCCAAGGUGUGAAUUUGGUCUUUGUGCUCAUGAAGGCUACCUCUAUGCCUUUGGUGGAUGGGUGGGAGAAGAUAUUGGAGGAACCAUUGAAAGAUACGAUCCUAUUGCAGACGAGUGGAGAUUAGAAUCAAAUAUGCCAGAAGCUAGAUUUAGUAUGGGCGUAGUAGAACAUCAAGGACUUAUUUACAUCGUCGGUGGUUGUACACACAGCCAGCGACACUUGCAUGACCUUCUCUGCUAUAACCCAGUGACUGGAGAGUGGCAGAAUCUGGCACCAAUGCUAACUCCACGCAGUCAGAUGGGGGUUGCUGUUUUAGACGGCUUCUUGUAUGUAGUUGGCGGCACCAAUAGGCAUAAUGUACUCACAUCGGUGGAAAGAUACUCAUUUGAACAGGACAAAUGGUUUGAGUGUCCACCAAUGUCUGUUGGUAGAGCAAGUCCAGCAGUUGCUGCCACAAACUCUCUCUUGUAUGUCAUAGGUGGUGACCAAACAAGUGAAGUUAAUGAUUUCUACAGAGCACAGGUAACCAUUGCACAUGUUGAGUAUUAUGACCCCAAUACUAAUCGAUGGCUUGACUGUACAUCACUGCCCGAGAGUCGAUCCGAGGCAGGGGCAGUUGUCAUUUGACCCCCUCCUCCUCCACGGCAACCUCCUCGACCUACACGCAGAAGUCGGAAGCCUCAGGAUAAUGACAACCAAGAGUGUCCACAUGUUGUACGAAAAAGGAGCAUCAGUCGUCAGUCUCACAGUCCUAGGCAACCAGCCUAGCAUUUCUGAUUAUGUGGACAACACUUACAUAGAAACAAUCUCUCCCACUCUGAAGAGGAAAGUGAAUAUCGAGUAUCCUUAGUACAGUACUAAGAGAAGUGUGUGAGCUACCAGUGGGCCAUGCCAGUCAGCCUUGCAAACACUUUGCCCUAAGAGCAAACACCACUUAGCUGAAGAAGUAGGACACCAGAGCCAGCAUGGAAGAGGCACAACCAGGUAUGCACUACAUCAGCAUAGAACUAAGGGUGGAGAUGCCAGCUGAUGGGCUACCCCCCUACCUAUCUCCCAAAACGAGUGGGGGAGGUGGGGCGAACUAGUUUAUGUUAGUUCCAAGAGAAUUCAGUCAUUCGUUUCUAUAGUUGGGAAGAGUUCUUUUGGUGGGUUUCGAGGCUUUGGUCCCUAUUGAAUCCAGCAGUGGCUAGUUUUUACCUCGCUGACUUUCUGGUUGCCUUCCCAAAGUGGCAAAAAUAAAUGUCACCUCUGUGUGCGCGCCUCUGUGAGGUGGGGUGCCAGGUUCUGGCUCUGGUUCCUGGUAGGCCUAUAGAGGCUGUUGUUGAUGCAAAAUAGUAGAUGGUACCAUGUAGCUUUAGGAAGCUACCAGGGGUUUACCCCAAGAUAUGUUUGUAUUAUACCAGUACUAUGUUAAAUCCAGGGAAUAUUGGUAGAAGCUUUGUUACAUUUUUUAAAACAUUGUAAUUUAUAUAUACUGUACUUAGUUUGAAUAUAAUUAUUACAAACAGCUUUCAUAUACAGUAAUGGAAUCCUGCUACUCAUUGUCUUUUUGCUUCUCAAGACUGGAGAGCCAGUUGUGUUAAUCAUCAGUCACUGUACAGUGGGUGUUUCAGCAAAUAAGUCAUCUAAAUCACUUAUAUUGUGUGAACACUCAAAUUAAUUGUAUUCCAAAUAAAUUUAUAUUGAAUGGC
rnacentral:misc_RNA from 1 species